AGAUAGGAGGAUGCGGCCUUGUGGGUGGUAGCUGGUAUGUUGGUGGAAACUCCAUGCUUCCAUGGAACCAGCUGUAGAGGAGUGGUGAUGCAAUGAGCAUCCUGGAAGUUUAGUUGUCAUUUGUCACUUUUUGGAUAAUGGAGUAGAUUUCUGAAGCUAUUUCUCCUUGUUUGGUGUUCUGCCUGCAAUUUGGACAAGUGGACUUCAGAUUAUGUCUUCGUAGACUGAAAGGCUUGGGACUACUUUGGUUUUCUGGGGGUCCACUUCAGACCCUAGUUGCCUUGGUUUUUCCCAUACCUGGAGAUGUCACCAGUGAAGCCUGGGAAACAGCAAAGAAGGCAGCCUGAUCGUUCAUCUGGAAACUUUGUUCCAGCAUAAGAAGCCUCUCACGCUAAACAUCACAGCUGGGAAUAUGCUGGACCACAACUAAAGCCAGCAUGGCACUGACUCUGACCAAAGGAUUAGCUUCCAGGGGUCCUAGCAAGGUGCAUCACAGUGUCAAGAAUGCACUGCAUUCAGAGAAGUUCAAACUAUGGAUUCCCACCAGAGAAGCAUGAAGUGCUCUGAAGGCUGCCAACAAAAUGUCAAGUGAGUCCACUGACAAAAAGGAAGAGAAACCUUGGAAAAACAUUAUUGCUUAUGUUCCAUCUGAAUCUGAGCAGCUGACCUGAGGAAGGAGGUGGCUCAUCCAAGCUGAGACAUGGUGUUUCAAGAGGUGAAACCACAGGGAAAGUUUGAAAUGAAAGUCAUAUGGGAAGAAAUGGAGAGAAGCAAGUUGGAGAUCUUUCUAGAUCACCAUCCCGUAUUGGUACCCAUGCCUCAGUUUAUUUCUGCUGGAGAAGGUGAUGCUAGAAGCUCAGGUUCUCUGUCCUCUCCAUGAUCCUGUGAGCUGUCUAAUAUCCCUCCAUAAAAGCCUGCUGUCUUAAACUA